GUCAGGAUGGCCGAGUGGUCUAAGGCACUGCAUUCAGGUUGCAGUCUCCCGUGGAAGCAUGGGUUUGAAUCCCACUCCUGACA
rnacentral:tRNA from 1 species